CCUACGGGAGACAGCAGUGGGGAAUAUUGCACAAUGGGGGCAACCCUGAUGCAGCGAUGCCGCGUGAGUGAAGAAGUAUUUCGGUAUGUAAAGCUCUAUCAGCAGGGAAGAAAAUGACGGUACCUGAUUAAGAAGCACCGGCUAACUACGUGCCAGCAGCCGCGGGAAUACGUAGGGGGCAAGCGUUAUCCGGAUUUACUGGGUGUAAAGGGAGCGUAGACGGCAGCACAAGUCUGGAGUGAAAUGCCGGGGCUUAACCCCGGAACUGCUUUGGAAACUGUGCAGCUAGAGUGCAGGAGAGGUAAGUGGAAUUCCUAGUGUAGCGGUGAAAUGCGUAGAGAUUAGGAGGAACACCAGUGGCGAAGGCGGCUUACUGGACUGUAACUGACGUUGAGGCGCGAAAGCGUGGGGAGCAAACAGGAUUAGAUACCCUUGUAGUC
rnacentral:rRNA from 1 species